CCCAGCUGUAGGCAAUGACUUAGGCUGCAUUGUACCUAGGUAAGUGUUACACUGCUGGAAGAAAAGCAGCUAAUAGCUGGUGGGCAUCCUGGUCUGGUUAAUGCCACAUU
rnacentral:snoRNA from 1 species